UUAAUAGACAGGCCGCUUCAAAUUUCCUAAUUAACACACAUAAACAAAGAACUACCGAUGGCAUUUACAUAAAAAAGAAGAAUAAACAGUAAAAAAAGAUGAAAAAGAAGAACUAUUGACAAUGAAGGUUCGUAUAGCCUUUGCAUAUAAAAGGGAACAACAAAAGCAGUACUAAUUGCUUUUAGCAAAAGAGUUAGAAAGAGGGAAUAUGCAUAUCAUUUUGGGGAAUGGAAAUAAAGUCUACGCUUCCAGAAUAACUUGAUGUAAUGACCAAGUAUACAGAAUAGUAACAAGAAAUCUGAACAACAGUUAAAUCAACAUACCAAUUCAGAAUAUAGACAUCUUAACUCAUUCGCUCGACUUGAGAUGCACAUUGAGUAUUACAUAACGAAACAAGUUUGAUCACAUUCGAGAAACAAACUCAAUGAAGAGAUAUCAACGAAGCAAAUUUUGAACAAUCGAUAUCAAAUCAGCAAACAACCAACAGACAAAUCAGAAAAGAAUGACAAAGAGAACAGUUAACGGAGAGAGCAUUACCUUUCCUUGAGCAGCG
rnacentral:misc_RNA from 1 species